UUAAGCGACUAAGCGUACACGGUGGAUGCCCUGGCAGUCAGAGGCGAUGAAGGACGUGCUAAUCUGCGAAAAGCGUCGGUAAGGUGAUAUGAACCGUUAUAGCCGGCGAUGUCCGAAUGGGGAAACCCAGUGCAAUUCGUUGCACUAUCGUUAACUGAAUACAUAGGUUAACGAGGCGAACCGGGGGAACUGAAACAUCUAAGUACCCCGAGGAAAAGAAAUCAACCGAGAUUCCCCCAGUAGCGGCGAGCGAACGGGGAGCAGCCCGGAGUCUGAAUCAGCUUGUGUGUUAGUGGAAGCGUCUGGAAAGUCGCAGGGUACAGGGUGAUACUCCCGUACACUAAAACGCACAGGUUGUGAACUCGAAGAGUAGGGCGGGGCACGUGGUAUCCUGUCUGAAUAUGGGGGGACCAUCCUCCAAGGCUAAAUACUCCUGACUGACCGAUAGUGAACCAGUACCGUGAGGGAAAGGCGAAAAGAACCCCGGCGAGGGGAGUGAAAAAGAACCUGAAACCGUGUACGUACAAGCAGUAGGAGCCCACUAGUUGGGUGACUGCGUACCUUUUGUAUAAUGGGUCAGCGACUUAUAUUCUGUAGCAAGGUUAACCGUAUAGGGGAGCCGCAGGGAAACCGAGUCUUAACUGGGCGUUAAGUUGCAGGGUAUAGACCCGAAACCCGGUGAUCUAGCCAUGGGCAGGUUGAAGGUUGGGUAACACUAACUGGAGGACCGAACCGACUAAUGUUGAAAAAUUAGCGGAUGACUUGUGGCUGGGGGUGAAAGGCCAAUCAAACCGGGAGAUAGCUGGUUCUCCCCGAAAGCUAUUUAGGUAGCGCCUCGUGAAUUCAUCUUCGGGGGUAGAGCACUGUUUCGGCUAGGGGGUCAUCCCGACUUACCAACCCGAUGCAAACUACGAAUACCGAAGAAUGUUAUCACGGGAGACACACGGCGGGUGCUAACGUCCGUCGUGAAGAGGGAAACAACCCAGACCGCCAGCUAAGGUCCCAAAGUCAUGGUUAAGUGGGAAACGAUGUGGGAAGGCCCAGACAGCCAGGAUGUUGGCUUAGAAGCAGCCAUCAUUUAAAGAAAGCGUAAUAGCUCACUGGUCGAGUCGGCCUGCGCGGAAGAUGUAACGGGGCUAAACCAUGCACCGAAGCUGCGGCAGCGACACUAUGUGUUGUUGGGUAGGGGAGCGUUCUGUAAGCCGUUGAAGGUGGCCUGUGAGGGUUGCUGGAGGUAUCAGAAGUGCGAAUGCUGACAUAAGUAACGAUAAUGCGGGUGAAAAACCCGCACGCCGGAAGACCAAGGGUUCCUGUCCAACGUUAAUCGGGGCAGGGUGAGUCGACCCCUAAGGCGAGGCCGAAAGGCGUAGUCGAUGGGAAACAGGUUAAUAUUCCUGUACUCGGUGUUACUGCGAAGGGGGGACGGAGAAGGCUAUGUUGGCCGGGCGACGGUUGUCCCGGUUUAAGCAUGUAGGCGGAUGUUCCAGGUAAAUCCGGAGCGUCACUAACGCUGAGGUGUGAUGACGAGGCACUACGGUGCUGAAGUGACAAAUGCCCUGCUUCCAGGAAAAGCCUCUAAGCAUCAGGUAACAUCAAAUCGUACCCCAAACCGACACAGGUGGUCAGGUAGAGAAUACCAAGGCGCUUGAGAGAACUCGGGUGAAGGAACUAGGCAAAAUGGUGCCGUAACUUCGGGAGAAGGCACGCUGAUGGUAGGUGAAGCGACUUGCUCGUGGAGCUGAAAUCAGUCGAAGAUACCAGCUGGCUGCAACUGUUUAUUAAAAACACAGCACUGUGCAAACACGAAAGUGGACGUAUACGGUGUGACGCCUGCCCGGUGCCGGAAGGUUAAUUGAUGGGGUUAUCCGUAAGGAGAAGCUCUUGAUCGAAGCCCCGGUAAACGGCGGCCGUAACUAUAACGGUCCUAAGGUAGCGAAAUUCCUUGUCGGGUAAGUUCCGACCUGCACGAAUGGCGUAAUGAUGGCCAGGCUGUCUCCACCCGAGACUCAGUGAAAUUGAACUCGCUGUGAAGAUGCAGUGUACCCGCGGCAAGACGGAAAGACCCCGUGAACCUUUACUAUAGCUUGACACUGAACACUGGUCCUUGAUGUGUAGGAUAGGUGGGAGGCUUUGAAGUGUGGACGCCAGUCUGCAUGGAGCCAUCCUUGAAAUACCACCCUUUAAUGGCUGGUGUUCUAACGUGGGCCCCUGAUCGGGGUUGCGGACAGUGUCUGGUGGGUAGUUUGACUGGGGCGGUCUCCUCCUAAAGAGUAACGGAGGAGCACGAAGGUCAGCUAAUCCUGGUCGGACAUCAGGAGGUUAGUGCAAUGGCAUAAGCUGGCUUGACUGCGAGCGUGACGGCGCGAGCAGGUGCGAAAGCAGGUCAUAGUGAUCCGGUGGUUCUGAAUGGAAGGGCCAUCGCUCAACGGAUAAAAGGUACUCCGGGGAUAACAGGCUGAUACCGCCCAAGAGUUCAUAUCGACGGCGGUGUUUGGCACCUCGAUGUCGGCUCAUCACAUCCUGGGGCUGAAGUAGGUCCCAAGGGUAUGGCUGUUCGCCAUUUAAAGUGGUACGCGAGCUGGGUUUAGAACGUCGUGAGACAGUUCGGUCCCUAUCUGCCGUGGGCGCUGGAGAAUUGAGGGGGGCUGCUCCUAGUACGAGAGGACCGGAGUGGACGCAUCACUGGUGUUCGGGUUGUCAUGCCAAUGGCAUUGCCCGGUAGCUAAAUGCGGAAGAGAUAAGUGCUGAAAGCAUCUAAGCACGAAACUUGCCCCGAGAUGAGUUCUCCCUGACUCCUUGAGAGUCCUGAAGGAACGUUGAAGACGACGACGUUGAUAGGCCGGGUGUGUAAGCGCAGCGAUGCGUUGAGCUAACCGGUACUAAUGAACCGUGAGGCUUAACCUU
rnacentral:rRNA from 2 species